rnacentral:rRNA from 1 species
UACGGAGGGUGCAAGCGUUAUCCGGAUUCACUGGGUUUAAAGGGUGCGUAGGCGGGCAGUUAAGUCCGUGGUGAAAUCUCUGAGCUUAACUCAGAAACUGCCAUGGAUACUAUCUGUCUUGAAUAUUGUGGAGGUAAGCGGAAUAUGUCAUGUAGCGGUGAAAUGCUUAGAUAUGACAUAGAACACCAGUUGCGAAGGCAGCUUGCUACACAGUCAUUGACGCUGAGGCACGAAAGCGUGGGGAUCAAACAGG